rnacentral:rRNA from 1 species
UGGGGGAUAUUGCACAAUGGAGGAAACUCUGAUGCAGCGACGCCGCGUGAGGGAAGAAGGUUUUCGGAUUGUAAACCUCUGUCUUCGGGGACGAAACAAAUGACGGUACUCGAGGAGGAAGCCACGGCUAACUACGUGCCAGCAGCCGCGGUAAUACGUAGGUGGCAAGCGUUGUCCGGAAUUACUGGGUGUAAAGGGAGCGCGGGCGGAACUGCAAGUUGGGUGUUUAAUCUACGGGCUCAACCCGUAUCAGCAUUCAAAACUGUGGUUCUUGAGUAAUGCAGAGGUAGGCGGAAUUCCCGGUGUAGCGGUGGAAUGCGUAGAUAUCGGGAGGAACACCAGUGGCGAAGGCGGCCUACUGGGCAUCAACUGACGCCGAGGCUCGAAAGCAUGGGUAGCAAACAGGAUUA